UCAUUCUCUUUUGCUUGGAGUUUUCUUGC
rnacentral:piRNA from 1 species